UACGUAGGGUGCGAGCGUUGUCCGGAAUUAUUGGGCGUAAAGAGCUCGUAGGCGGUGUGUCGCGUCGGCCGUGAAAACCUGCAGCUUAACUGUGGGCUUGCGGUCGAUACGGGCAUCACUGGAGUUCGGCAGGGGAGACUGGAAUUCCUGGUGUAGCAGUGAAAUGCGUAGAUAUCAGGAGGAAUACCGAUGGCGAAGGCAGGUCUCUGGGCUGACACUGACGCUCAUGCACGAAAGGCGU
rnacentral:rRNA from 1 species